rnacentral:rRNA from 1 species
CCUGGCGGCGAUAGCGCGGUGGUCCCACCUGACCCCAUGCCGAACUCAGAAGUGAAACGCCGUAGCGCCGAUGGUAGUGUGGGGCUUCCCC